CAUUAAGAAGCUAUAUAAGCAUUAACCUUUUAAGUUAAAGACUAGGAGUUUAAAUCUCCUCUUAAUGA
rnacentral:tRNA from 1 species